rnacentral:rRNA from 1 species
UACGGGGGGGGCGAGCGUUGUUCGGAAUUAUUGGGCGUAAAGGGCGCGUAGGCGGUGUGGUAAGUCUGUUGUGAAACCUCCAGGCUCAACUUGGAGCCUUGCAUCAGAAACUGCCGUGCUAGAGUGUGGGAGAGGAGAGUGGAAUUCCCAGUGUAGCGGUGAAAUGCGUAGAUAUUGGGAGGAACACCAGUGGCGAAGGCGGCUCACUGGACCGGUACUGGACGCUG